UGGAACGUCGAGCGCCGGACAGGCCGUACCAAGACGGGGCGGGGGGUGCGCGAGGAAAGUUGCUUAUGUCAUUAAAGCCCCACGGGAGGCCCGGGGCGGGGCCGCGAGCGCAGAGGCGUAGGGUACGCCGGAGCCCCGGGCGCUGGAGGAGCUCGUGGUGGAACGGGGUCCAUCCCCACCUGCUAAUUCUAAGGCAAACCCUGGGAAGUUUUCGGCUUUUUUUCUUUUUCUCUUUUUUUCUUUUUCUAUUCGUUUUUGUUUGUUUUGUGACCAGAUCAUUCAUGAAAGCGCGCACUAUGCCCGGGGAGGAGAGGGGAGAAGUUUGGAAGUCCCAAACUAGAGGACGAAGGAGUGGGCGGAGAUUUUGGAAUUAUUUGCAUUAUAAAAGUUUCAGGUUUUGGAGCAUUUCGGAUUUUAGAUUUUCAGAUUUGAGAUCCUCAACUUGUAGAAGUGUGUGAAACCACAGAUGCUGAGAGAUUGCACAGCAGAGGAAUCGUCAUUCUGGUGGGAUCAGGACAAGCUUCCUGAAAUGGGUGUAUUUCAAUUUUGUUUCAACAGAGAUGAAAGCGGAGCUUGAGAGAGAAGAACUUAAGCAGUUUAUAUGGGGGCAAUGGCACAGACAAGGGCAUGGAGCUAAACCCGUGGGCAGAUGAGCUUGGCUAAUGGACAGGUUCUUGGCUGGGGAAUGAUGAGACCUCAGCUAGGAAAAGUGAGGGUGACAGAAGUUGAUUAAAUGCCCUCAAAUGCGAGAAUGGGGAAUUUAGGCAGCUUUUAUAGGUGUUUGAGCAUGAGAGAGAUGUAUUGAAAAUAUCCUGGCCGGGCGCGGUGUCUCACACCUGUAAUCCCAGCACUUUGGGAGGCCAAGGCAGGUGGAUCACGAGGUCAGGAGAUCAAGACCAUCCUGGCUAACAUGGUGAAACCCCGUCUCCACUAAAAAUACAAAAAAUUCUCCGGGCGUGGUGGUGGGCGCCUGUAGUCCCAGCUACUCUGGAGGCUGAGGCAGGAGAAUGGCGUGAGCCCGGGAGGUGGAGCUUGCAGUGAGCAGAGAUCGCGCCACUGCACUCCAGCCUGGGCGACAGAGCAAGACUCCAUCUCAAAAAAAAAAAAGAAAAAAAAGAAAAAAAAGAAAAUAUCCUUUUGAGGCCAGGCAUGGUGGCUCACGCCUAUAAUCCCAGCACUUGGGAGGCCGAGGCAGGUAGAUCACCUGAGGUCAGGAGUUCAAGACUAACCUGGCCAACAUGAGGUAACCCCAUCUCUACUAAAAAUACAAAAAAAUUAGCUGGGCGUGGUGGUGAGGACCUGUAGUUCGAGCUACUCGGGAGGCUGAGACAGAAGAAUCGCUGGAACCCAGGAGGCGGAGGUUGCAGUGAGCGGAGGUCAUGCCACUACACUCCAGCCUGGGCGACACGACCAGACAAAAAAAAAAGAGAAAGAAAAAGAAAAUACCCUAUUAAGAAGCGGCAUGUACCGUACUAAAAAGUAUGAAAGGGACUGAGAAGCUCCUGCUACUGGAUAUACAUGUCUGAAAUUUAUUGAAGGAUAUAGAUGUAUGUAAGUUUGUUGUGAGCUUGUCUGUUUUUUGAAACCCCCUUUCUCUUCCUUUCUUGGACUUUCUUCCUUUCAAGAAAACUAAGGGCUGGGCUCAGUGGCUCAAGCCUGCAAUCCCAGCACUUGGGGAGGCCAAGUGGAUCACCUGAGGUCAGGAGUUUGAGACCAGCCUGACCAACAUGGAGAAACCCCGUCUCUACUAAAAAUACAAAAUUAACCGGGCAUGGUGGUGCAUGCCUAUAAUCCCAGCUAUUCCAGAGGCUGAAGCAGGAGAAUUGCUUGAACCCGGGAGGCGGAGGUUACAGGGAGCUGAGAUCGCACCAUUGCACUCCAGCCUGGGCAACAAGAGCGAAACUCCGUCUCAGAAAACAAAACACAAACAAACAAACAAAAAAACUCAGGAGCAUGACCCAAAUGGUUGGAAGCCCCCUGGCACCUGCAUGGGAGUAGCAUUCUCUGACUAAGGAAUGAAACUGCAUUGCAGGAACACCGUGCCCCCACAUUCCUCAGCAGAAGCAGGGUUGUCAUAGCAAGCAGCAAUACAGAAGAUUGUUUUCCAGCAUGAUGAUUAUCAGGCUAGAACAUACUAACUUUAGCACAGUUUGGCCAAGCAUUCUUUCUACCCUUUUUUCACCUUGACAUCUUGAAGAAAUACCCUCUUCACAGCCAAGCACCACCCCUACCCAAGAGCAGGGGUCCAGAAAGGAUAAGUCUCCUCAAUUUAAAGAAAAGUGGGCUGGGCACAGUGGCUCAUGCCUGUAAUCCCAGCAUUUUGGGAGGUGGAGGUGGGAGGAUCGCUUGAAGUGAGGAGUUUGAGAUCAGUCUGGGCAAAAAUGCAAGACUUGUCUCAAAAAAACCAAAAAAAUUGUGAAAUUUCAUUCAUGAAGAUUUCAACAUGAAAAAUAGAUUUUUAUUUUCCUGAAGUAUUUUGGGUUAGGAGAAGAGACGAAAUUAAAGAUCAUUUCUUGCCUUAUCAGGCUGUAAGUUUGUAUUUCUGUUAUCCAGUGAAGGCAAAGGACUUUUACUUUCCUACGGUUUUCACCUCUGUUGAUAAAAUUUAGUACAAACAGCAACAAAGCACCAACAGAAAAUAAAAUCGAAAGGUCUUUCUUGACUCAAAUAAUCUCA